CCUACGGGUGGCAGCAGUAGGGAAUUUUCGUCAAUGGGCGCAAGCCUGAACGAGCGAUGCCGCGUGAGUGAAGAAGGCCUUCGGGUCGUAAAGCUCUGUUGCGGGGGAAAAAAGGCAGCAUCAGGAAAUGGGUGCUGACUGAUGGUGCCCCGCCAGAAAGUCACGGCUAACUACGUGCCAGCAGCCGCGGUAAUACGUAGGUGGCGAGCGUUAUCCGGAAUGAUUGGGCGUAAAGGGUGCGCAGGCGGUCCUGCAAGUCUGGAGUGAAACGCAUGAGCUCAACUCAUGCAUGGCUUUGGAAACUGGAGGACUGGAGAGCAGGAGAGGGCGGUGGAACGCCAUGUGUAGCGGUAAAAUGCGUAGAUAUAUGGAAGAACACCGAUUGCGAAGGCAGCUCACUGGACUGCAACUGACACUGAGGCUCGAAAGUGUGGGUAUCAAACAGGAUUAGAUACCCCAGUAGUC
rnacentral:rRNA from 1 species